AGUUGGUAACUACACACCGCAGUGGCGCAGGGUCGCACCUUUACUGUCCUUUAUUUAUAUUUAUUAUUUAUGUAUUUAUUUUAUUCUGAAAUUUUUUAGCUUCUUCUUCCAAAACCUUCUCAGCUGAGGCACCGCACAGAACAAAACACAAAGCCCAAAAGAAAAAGCCCUUCUAGCUUUGUAUUUAUUCUCCGAUAUGACUUCACCCAAAAAGCCGCCGGAAUCUGAGCGCCCGGCGACGGCGAUCUUAGUCCAGCCAUCGUCUCCUAGGUUUCCGAUUACUCCCACCGGUGCCCACCGGAAAAUUGGAAUAGCUGUCGAUCUGAGCGACGAGAGCGCAUUUGCUGUGAAAUGGGCCGUCCAGAAUUACCUCCGCCCGGGCGACGUUGUGAUCCUCCUGCACGUGCGUCCGACGAGCGUCCUCUACGGCGCCGAUUGGGGUUCUAUCGACCUGUCGAUGGAAACCGACGAGGAGUCGCAGCAGAAGCUGGAAGACGAUUUCGACGCCUUCACCACCGCGAAGGCCAACGAUCUGGCUCAGCCGCUGGUUGAGGCGCAGAUUCCUGUGAAGAUCCACAUAGUGAAGGAUCACGACAUGAAAGAGAGGCUUUGCUUGGAGGUGGAAAGAUUGGGAUUGAGUGCGGUGAUUAUGGGGAGUCGAGGUUUUGGUGCUUCGAAGCGGAAUAGUAAAGGACGGCUGGGGAGCGUUAGCGAUUACUGCGUGCAUCACUGUGUUUGUCCCGUGGUUGUGGUUAGGUUUCCUGAUGAUAAGGAUGGGAAUGAUUCCGGAGAUGCUACACCGGAGGAUAAGACGGACGGUGAUCUGCUGUGUCCGCUGGUGCAGGAGGAUGACUGCCACGUUCCAGCUAAGAUAUACAAAGGUUCAAAUGCUUCUAUGCUUUCAAUUUAAAGAAUAUUGGUUUUGAUAUUUCUAAGCUCUUUUAUUCAUGCUCUUUGGUAUUUAGCUAUGAGUUUACUGCACAAAAAAGAUAGUUUCUAGUGUAAUUUGUGGUAACACUAGUGUGCAUUGAGAUUAUGGUUUUUCGAAUUUCAUUGUGGUGAUAAUCUACAUCUGUUGCAUGUAAUAUUGGAUGAUUAAAUUUGUGGACUUUCUGUGUUCUUUGCAAAAAAAAAAAAAAAAUUAAUUAAAAAAAAAAGAAGGAUUUUAUCUGUUCUUUCAUGACCACAUUAGUUGUUUAAAUGUUUUCUUCCCAUUUUAAUACAUGUCUGCAUUCAUGUAUAAUUGUGAUCUUGAUCUCUGCAUUCAUGUGAGAUGUUUGGUUAUGUAUGUUAUUUGUAAUUGUGAUCAUGCAUUUAAUCUCAAAUGUUAGUUUUAAUACUUUGUUGUCAAAAUAAUUUUCUCUGUGAUAUCUCUACUAUUUUGUCUCUGGAUCCUUGUGCUUUCUGUCUUUAGUGUUUCUUGGGUCCUUCCUUUUUUUGGUUAAAUAUUCUCUAGUUCCUGACAAAGGUAGCGUUGUGGGAAGGAAGUAGAAAGUGUGGGAAACUGCCAGCUAUAUCACUUUGGUGUAUUUUAAAGGAAAAAAUUUUAACAAUCUCCGGAGGGGUUUAGGUUGAAAGAUAUAUUCCUCAAGUCUUUGGACUCUUGGUCCAGAGAUUCUUGAGGGAGGAGGUUUGUCAUUAUUAGAUUCCACUAAUAGGAUGGGGUAGUUUAUGGGUUUGGGUUUGGCCUCUCAGGUCCCUUCUCUCUUUUGUUUUGUCUCAGUGCUUUUUUUUUUUUUGCAUCUUGUGUAGUGGGGUUUUCCCCCUUCCCUAGGCCUUUUUUGGAAUACAUUAUACUCUUUCCCUUAAAUAGAAAAAAGGAAUGAAAGAAAGAAAAGAAAAGAAAAGAAAAGAGAAAGAAAAAUGCUCUUCUCCUGAAGGAAAAGAAAAAGAAAAACUCCCUUCUCCUCAUUUUAUGUUGAUUUUUGGGGGAAAAUGUACUUGUUCCCUGUAUUUGUGUAAGAUUUCCCAGAUUAAAACAAAAUAAUACUCCUUGCAUACGAUUUUAUAUGAAUUGAUUGAUGAUUUAGGUGUUGGAGCUUGCUUGUGGUAGAAGCUGACUAAACUUUCUCCAGGCCACACUCUCUAGCAGCUUAAUCUUUUGAACUAAUCAAUUGGAUGAGAAUAAAGAUAGGGUCCCGUUAUAAAUGUCAAUAUUGAGAACAAUGAAAUUUAUUAGAAAUGGAAAAUUUGUUGACCUCAAAAAUCAUGAGGGUUCAAGUCCCUCUAUCCCCAAAAAUGCCCGCAUGACUCCCUAACUAUUUAUACUGCUGAUUCAAAAUCCUUUUAUGUUUGAAAUAAAGGUCAUUGGAGAAAUGGUUUGGUGCUUUGUGCUGAGAAAAUCAGUUAUAUUUUUUAAAAUAUCUGGAAUUAAUACUCAUCUAAUAGGGCCUAUUUCUACACUUAUGGCCUGAAGAUGUUUUCCUACCUUUUCUUCCUUUGAAAUGGUUCAAUUUUUUUCUCUCGCUGUUGUUCUGUUUCAGCUUCAUAUAGCCAUUGCUUCAUCUUCCUUGCUUAUCAGCAGCCUUUGCAGAAAGUUCCUCUUCUCGAUUACUUGGUGAUUGAGAAAAAACCAUCCAAUGGCACAGAAAUUAUCAUGACGAUAUAGAUGCAAUGGGAUUAUGGGAGUAACCUAUAUUUGUCUUUAAAGUAUACAGGCAUAUUCUAUGCUACACUAUGGAGCUUGGAUUAAUGUUAUAGAAAUAUGUAAAAGGAUGCCAGAAUUUGCAAAUGCUGGUAUAUGUUGGGUGCUUUGCAAGAAUGGGGUGUUCUCUGUGAGGUCUUUCUACGAUGCAUUGGAAGCAGGGGUGAAGUGAUUUUCCCCUCAAAGAUAAUAUGGGGUUCUUGUGCUCCUACCAAAGUGAGUUUUCUUUUUUUUUUGCUUGGGUAGCGACUUGGGGCCGGAUCCUAACUAUGGACCAGCUCAAGAGGAGAGGAAGGGUUUUGGCAGGUUUUUGUUCUAUGUGUAAAGAUGCAGAUGAAUCAGAAGACCAUCUUUUCAUUGUGGGGUAGCUAGAGAGUUAUGACACUUUCUCUUCUCCUUCUUUGGCAUUUCGUGCCCCAUACUAUUCUGGUCAGAGCAUAAGCUAGUGAUGCUUUCAGCUACUGGACUCUCGCCAUCUAGGGUGCAGCAUUCCUCCGCUUCGUCUAGCAGCGUGACGCUUUUAUUGCUCUCCCACAAUCCCGUUUUCACGAUUUGGGCUGCUCCCAUUUCGCUCGCUGCUACUACGGGAAUCGCUUUUGCUUUCUUUUCCUCUGGCUACUAUGAUGUUUUAGUUUGCCAGGUUAAGGAUUUGUUGGAGGGAUGACAUGGUAGCUUUGUGGGUAGGAAAAGAAGGAAGUUUUGGAGAAAAGUGUCUCUUUGCCUUUUAUGGACAAUUUGGAAGGAGUGAAAUCAAAGAACUUUUGAAGGGGAGCAAUGCACUAUCCAAGCUCUCAAGGAUUCCCUCAUAACUAAUCUGUAUAUGUGGUCUCAAGGGUUCCUUCUAGGAGGCAGGCAAGAAGGCCUAGCUUAUUUGUUAGAUUUUAUAGAAUUGUUGGGCUCUUUUUCUUAUAGUGGGGUUGUAGCAACGAUAGCUAGUCUUUUGUUUCUCAUUUGUAUACUUCCGGUAUACUGUGUUCGUCACUUUAGUUUGACAGUCUUUAUAUGUUUAUUAAUAUACAUACUCUUAUUUGCCUAUCAAAAUAUCUCUCUCUCUCUCUCUCUCUAUAUAUAUAUUAGGUGCUUUUCUCAUUAAGACUUGUUAGUCCAUUUUUCUUCUCACUCGACUAAAAUAUUGUUAAUUCUCUUUUUUAUUUCUUUAAAGGUAGCAUGGUAUCAUUUCUCUUGUUACAACCUUCGUUAUUAUACAAGGUGUUGCUGUGCAUAGCUUUACCUUUUUUGUCUUUACUUUGUUUAGUUUGUUGUUGAUUCUGUUUUUCACUCUAAACUGAAGUUUCCCAUUUUUGUUACGUAUUAUAACAUGUGUAGCAAUGGUAUAACUCAAGAAAAAUGAGAAUAACAAGUUUUGAAGUGAUUUCAUUGGGAAAAAGAAUUUUUAUUAGCUGUGAUAAGUGUGUUGUCAAACAAGCUCUGCACCGACAAUAAAUAAAUCUUUGAUGCUCUGUUCCAAAUCUUGUAUCUAGCAUUUUUAAUUGCAGCAUGUAUGGCCAUCCUAAAUAACAACAAACCUGGGAAGUAAGACAUGGUUUCUUCUUCUUGACAGAGCUGCAGAUCAAACCCUCCGCACAAAUUCCUUGAUCAAGUAAAUAUUUGGCAUUCAGUGUCAAACAGUGUAAAAGUAAUCACUGUUUACCUUCAUGAGUUAGCCAACUGAGAAAUACAGCUUCCUAGAAAUCCUCAAAGAAUGGAUAAUUUUCUUCUUGAAGCCUUGAAGGUGCCAUUGAUACAACACCAUCACAAUAUGUACAAGGUGAUAAGGAAUAAGGAUCUACUUAGGCUCAGUUCAAGAUCUAUUCAUUCAUUUUUUUUGGUACUUCCUAGUUCUCAAAUGGACAAGGUUGAUGUUACCAGGUCAUAUCUGGAGUUAGGCAUAGUUAAUUACUAAUGUCCUCUGCAAUGUAUGAGAUAGGGCCUGCUUGCUAGACCUUAAGCCUGAAUCUGAAGCCCCAAUCCUAGUGGAAACAUUGAUCUUAAUCAUAACCUGCCUAUUAAAAAAUUGAACUCAACCACAACCUGGUUCAAUCCUAUAUGAAUUAAUUACCUACAUACCCACACAUGGAUAAUAUUCUUGUAUUUGUGGGAAUGAUGAGGACUUGCUUGCCAAUCCUUUGAGUGAAGAUGAGGCUGACUAAGUUUUAUUGAUGGUGUGCAUUUUCUUUUUUCUUUUUUUUAUGGUAAUGCUACAGUUAAUUUUUUAUCAUGCGGGUUUCUAGUAUAUUCCAGGUUGCUUAUUUUUCUGCUAGUAUUAGGGAUGAUUAGUUUCCUGAUUUGCACUAAUGUGAAUAUCUCUGUUGUUUGCUUCCACCAGGCCCCUUUUAGAGCCUUGAUUUUGAUUUUUUCUCUACCAUCCAUAUUGUAUUUUUCUGCUUUUACAUUAGGAUAUUAGUUUCAUGUUUUGCAUUAACUUGAAUGUCCCUGUUGUUUUCUCCCCCCUGGCCCUUUUCAGAGCCUUGAUCUUGAUUUCCUCAAUUAUGGUAACUUUUUUUUUCAGCAACUGUGUUGGGAGAUCAGUUUCCUGUUUUGUGUUAACUUUAAAUCAUUCUGUUGUUUAUUAACUAGUGGCUGUAAUGGAUAUAAGAUUUGAGCACAUCCUCUGUAUGCUCGUGAGCUCGAACUUCGAGUAUGCACCCCGUGUGCUCGAGGAAACAAACAACGAAAACAAACCCUCCAUGUUCAUGAGAACACGGACGAUCGAGAAAGAAAACAAAACGAAAAAGGAAUAUUUUCUGUUAUGGGCAUGCUUUUCAAGACAUGACAUGUGUCCACCCCUAGUUAGUAUAAAAACUUAAAGAAGACUCAAGAAAGGGACUUUUUUUUUUCCAACUAAAACAGUGGCCACUUGUAGAGCCUUGAACAUGAUCUUCCUCAGCUAUGCUUGAAUGUUCCUUCAAUUUCUGGAGGUCCCUUUCUUGUACACAAAAUUGAUUUUCUUGCAAUAACUAUCUGCACUUUUCCAUAUUCAAACUUUGCUUUGCUCAUUGUUGAGACACUAUAAUCCUUGGUCAGGAAUCAUGAUAAUUGCCAGUUGGGUUGGCUUGUGGAUUUGCCUAAAAUUUUCUCGUAUCUUAUACAAUAUCUUACAUUAAUUCUUCCAAUUUUUGUUAUAAAGUUCUUUCAUUUAAUUUGUUAGUAUUUUUAUUCUUCUGUUUGGGUUCAUUCACAUGAGACUUUCUGCUAUGUUGUUCUCUGAUCAUCACUAUGAGGAUCAGUUUCAUACAUUUUUACCUUGAUAGUAAUAAUUAAACCCUAAAUUUGAAAACUUCUUUAGCUAUUAUUAGCACUUACCCAACCAUGGAAGAUGAAGAUCUAUCGUACAAGAUGCUGCAGGUGAUGUUCAAGAUUUGAAUCAUUAGCUCAAAGUAACAAAAUAUGUAAUGGGUUUAUUGUAAAAUGGCAAUGCACCUACUACCUCUCUCUCCCUCUCUCUCUUGUUGUUUUCUUCGUAUUAAAUUUUGAAUAAGUCAGUGUCAUGGGUGGAUCCUCUUAAAUCAGUUGGUGGUUGUGUGUCUUAUCACCUUUUUUGGCUGUAUGUUAUUUGUUUUCCUUGUUUUUGUCACAAGAACCAGAGAGCUGUUAGUAAGAUUAGUUUGACCACCAUGGAAAAGCUACUGGAUAUUAGUUUUAUGUUUGCAACCUUGAGCUCACCAGCAUUAUAAAUGGUCGAAGUUAGUAGAGGUUCACUGACUGGCAGAGCAUGUUUUCAUGCACAUACCGAGUUCACAGGGGUUUCCCUCUCCUCUUGGAUUUCACUCCACUUGGCAGGCAUAUUGUUCUAGAUGGAUGACUAGACUUUUAUGGAUUGAUAUUGUGUCUGAUCCCAGGAUUGAAGCAUGGUUUCUAAGCACCAUGACUUAACAUGAGCCCUUGCCUGAGAGAUUGUUUCAACAAUAUAACGAUAUAAAUACUUUUAACUAUCUGGUUAAACAUUUAUUGGUGCUCUUUGCAGAUUAGUUUUGAAAUGACAGAGUAAACUUCUGAUUUCCCGGAAGCUAGGCCAUCCAUAUUCAUUUAAGAACUUUACAUGUGAAUUCAUUAAUUCAUAAAUCAUCGAUCACAUGAUUGCAAGCUCCUGUAAGAGUCAUGUAAGUUGCUAUUGUUGGUGCCUUGAGAAUCUGUUUGAAAUGUUCUAAAAUGAUUAAUCCUCUACUCAAUAUUAUCUACCAUGUGUUGUCUCUCUCUCAUAGUGUAAUGAAGUCACUCCUUAUGUUUUGGGUGAAAACUGAUGCUGAUGACUACCAUUCAUGUGUUGCAGAGACAGAGGCGGCCUCUUAAGCAGGAUCCAGUUUGCUGCUUUGCUUGGUGGUUGUGGAUUCAUGUCU